CCACCCGGCCGGCACCGGUACCGGCGCUGGGCAGGGCGGCCCAAGCCGCCUUUCCCGCGGCAGCGGCUGGAGUUGUCGAAGUUGGUGGUGGCCGCGAUGAGCGCGGCUUCUCUCCGCUUCCCCGCCCGGCGGGGCCCCUGAUGGCUGCUGCCCCCGCCUCGCAGGCUGCUGGGUUUGGUCUCGGGUGGCUUUUUUUUUUGUGUGUUUUUCUUUUUGUUAUUAUUUUUCUCCUCCGUCUCGCUCUCGCUCCAGCCAAGGUGAAUGGCCCGCGGUGGGUGUAGCUGGCCUCAGCGGCUCCACAAGGGGAAAAUGCUGGCGGUGGGGGUGCUGGCCGGCCUCUCGGUGCUCAGCCUCCUCACCUACGGCUACCUGUCCUGGGACAGCCUCGGACGCGGCCCCGGAGAGGCGCCGGCAGCGCUGGGAGAAGAGCCGGGGGUCGGCACCCCCAGCUCGCAGCCGCACAUCAUCUUCAUCCUGGCUGACGAUCAGGGCUUCAGAGAUGUAGGGUACCACGGCUCGGAGAUCAGGACGCCCACUCUGGACAAGCUAGCUGCUGAAGGGGUUAAACUGGAGAACUAUUAUGUUCAGCCUAUGUGCACACCAUCCAGAAGCCAGUUUAUCACUGGAAAGUACCAGAUACACACCGGCCUUCAGCACUCCAUUAUACGGCCAACCCAGCCCAACUGCCUACCUCUGGAUAACGUCACGCUACCUCAGAAGCUGAAGGAGGUUGGUUACUCAACACACAUGGUUGGCAAAUGGCACUUGGGGUUUUAUCGCAGAGAAUGCAUGCCCACACAGAGAGGAUUUGACAGUUUCUUUGGCUCACUCUUAGGCAGCGGUGACUACUACACUCACUUCAAAUGUGACAGCCCUGGAAUAUGUGGCUAUGACCUGUAUGAGAAUGAUAAUGCAGCUUGGGAUCACGACAAUGGCAUCUACUCCACACAGAUGUACACGCAAAAAGUACAACAAAUAUUAGCUUCUCACAAUCCCAGGAAACCUAUAUUCUUAUAUAUUGCUUACCAAGCUGUUCAUUCGCCUCUUCAGGCACCAGGAAAGUAUUUUGAACAUUAUCGAUCCAUAAAUAACAUAAACAGGCGAAGAUAUGCUGCGAUGCUAGCUUGUUUGGAUGAAGCCAUAAACAACGUAACCCUUGCUCUAAAGAAGUAUGGUUACUAUGACAAUAGCAUUAUCAUAUACUCUUCAGAUAACGGUGGGCAGCCAAUGGCUGGAGGAAGUAACUGGCCUCUCCGAGGGAGCAAAGGAACAUACUGGGAAGGAGGUAUCCGUGCUGUUGGGUUUGUCCACAGCCCCCUUCUGAAAAACAAAGGGUCUGUGUGUAAGGAGCUUGUGCACAUCACGGACUGGUUCCCCACUUUGAUCACACUGGCUGAAGGACAGAUUGAUGAAGAUAUCCAGUUAGAUGGUUAUGAUAUAUGGGAAACCAUUAGCGAAGGCAGACGUUCUCCACGGGUAGACAUCUUACACAACAUUGACCCAAUUUACACCAAAGCCAAAAAUGGUUCUUGGGCAGCUGGCUAUGGGAUCUGGAACACUGCAAUUCAAUCUGCCAUCAGAGUGAAUCAUUGGAAACUACUGACAGGAAAUCCAGGAUAUAGUGACUGGGUUCCUCCGCAGGCCUUCAGCAACAUGGGCCCCAAUCGCUGGCAUAAUGAACGUGUUUCUUGGUCAGCUGGCAAAACUGUGUGGCUUUUCAACAUAACUGCUGAUCCAUACGAACGGGUGGACCUCUCUGCAAAGUAUCCUGAUGUAGUGAAACAGCUGUUGAGGAGGCUUUCACAGUUUAAUAAGACUGCGGUUCCUGUUCGGUACCCACCUAAGGAUCCACGGAGUAACCCAAAGCUGAAUGGAGGAGUCUGGGGUCCAUGGUUUAAAGAGGAUGAAAAGAAGAAGAAGUCAGAUAAAAGUAAAGGUGCUAAUAAGCAAAAGAAGAACAAGAACAAGAAAAAAGCAAAUCGGAAAAAAGGACAGUCAUUGCAUUGCCGAUCACGUCUUGCUGGUGGAUAGACUUUCAGCAUACUUGUUUUUGCCAAGCCUAAGACAGCUUGGCCCAAAUUCCUUGAAUUCUGACAAUACACCAGAAAUGCCUGCUCUGCACUAUGGAGGAAAGCUGUCAUCUUUUAAUUUGUUCUCAAAUUUCACUCGGAUGAGAUAUUUUGACGCUGCAUCGAACAUACAUAAACAUCCCUGUGACAGACUUUCUCCUCUACAGGAAGAAUGGUGCUCUUCCAUCACAGCUACAUUCCAGAUAAGAACACAAUUACUCCUAACUUCAGAAGGCCCAUUUUUGGUGGACAAAUGAUUGUUCCUUGCCUGAAUUAGUUAGAAUUUUUUGAGAGUCUGGAAUGGCAGAUGAUUCAUAGAGAGAAAGGAAAAGCAAAGCUUGAAAACUUCUGUAGGUCUGAGAGUAUUAGCCACCAACCUGUGACAUUUUUUGAUAAAACACAGCAAAAAUUGAAGCCAACAGUAUCUUUUUUGGGGGUGCUAGGGAGAGAAAUAAGAUAGUAGGAAAGCUGCUUUGAAUUAGACAGUGUCUCUCUUAGGUAAACCAGAAAUACUUUUUAAAUUCCCUAAAUGUGCUAACCUUUCCUCAUUUGUAGUAAAACCAGAAGGUUGUUAUCAGCACACCUGAAUAACUAGCACAUGUCAUAUAUAAUUUAUUAUAGGCAUAGGCAAAAGCACAUCACCAAAGUGAAUGUAAUAUUUAAACACUUUAAGAUAUCUAUUCUACAGAACAUGCAAGACGUAAUUUAUUUUACAGCACAAUACUUUCUUCUUUUCCAUUCAAACUUUAAUUAGUGGGUGAUGCAAGGGUUGUUUAUUUGUUUUGCUUUUGAUUUUUAAUUUUAUUUUCACUCAGUCAUUCAGAGUUUUGUUCAACAGAUCCAAAUCCUCAGAGUACUGUAAAACAAGGAAAUGCUGUAGACACUGCUAGGAUGAGAGAGGAGAAUGAUUCAGGCAAAAUGAGAGUCUUUGAAUGCAAACAGUGCAAAGCAGAACAGUGGAUCAGUUCUUGCAUGAAAUGUAUGUGCCAAAAUGUAAGUGUUUGUAGAGCACACAUUAGGAGUACAUUUUCUAAGGCUGCAGUGGCUGUCAGUUAGGAUGAUUCCCUUAAAAAUCAAAACUCUGAUCUGGUUUAGGGCAAAGGUUGGAUUUACAAUGUGUUAAAAAUAGGCACAAUUUGAUAGCCUUCUUGAACCAUUUGCUGAGAAGAUCAUGGUGAGAAAACACCACGUUGUCAUUUUCCUGUCUACCUGUUACUCCUGUUUUCACUCCAGCAAUACAUUGUUCUCUUGUUUUCAGUGCUACUACUCUGCUCUCAAACCAAACUUUCUGUUUACAGAGUUGUAAGUAGUACAUUCAUUCAAAGAGCAUGAUUUCACAGGUUAUUUACAUCCCAGGAUGUGUUACGUGUCCAAUCUCAGGGAAGAUAUGAGAGGUAAGCACUGCAAACAGUUCUAAGAAACCACUGAAACCACAAUCCUGCAACUCAGAAUCAAAAGCAACAGUCCUGCCAGUUGCUGGACAGACACACUAAGGCAGUUAAUACUUUGCUCAGGAGGAUUUCUUGUGCAAAUUUUGAGAAGAUCUAGAAAAAGUCUUCACAGGGAGAUUGGCAGGAAGGAUAUUUUUUUUAAGUUAUCUCAAUUUGUAGGCAGAUUUAACAAAUGCUAUGGGUACAACAAAAAGUCAGCUCUGAUUAUAACUCUCUGUGAUCCUGGACAAUAAUCCCUACCAGAGCAGCCCCAAGAACGAGAAAGACAAAUGCAGGGCACAGAGCAAGAAAGAAAAACAUGAAAAAGGAAAAAAAAAACAGAAACACAAAAGCCUUUCCUCAAAAUCUGCAUACCAAGCAUAUUAUUUCAUGCUAAAUUUCUCUUAAAAUCCUUCAGGUGUGAAAAAUACUAGUUCUGUCCUUUUUAGGAUUUCUCAAUCUUAUUCUGUGAAUUGCUUUUCAAAUGCUUCAAUGAUUUUAUCAACCACUGUUAUGUUAGCUUUUUGUUACUGUUGUUACUUAGUUUCAAAUGACGUUGGAGAGAAAAAUAUUAUCCUGGCUACAGGUAAAUACUAGUGGAAGGAAGUACUAUGAAUGGUAAGUAAGUCUAAAAUGACAAUCUUUUUGUAUGGAUCUUGUUGUAAGAGGUGAGGGACAGUACUGAAGCUCAGGAAUGGAAGAUGAGUUAUCAUAAGUAAUGGAGUCAUUAGUGUCUGAAGCCAUCUGAUAGGUUUCUAUAUCUGCUGGGACACACAACUGGUAUAGAAAGUGAAUUAGGCCAUUAAACCUGUCUCUCUGCCUGGAAGUAAUGAAUGCUGAUUGGAUUUCAAGCUGAUGAAAGAGCACUCAUGCUUCCACCUAUACAGGAUUAUAUAUAAUGGGUUAUCUGAGGUAUUGUCUAGACAACACUGAAACUUACUGGUCUUACUGCAAAGAAUAGACAACUUUUUUUUCUUUCAUUGCUCUGCAUAUUCAGCACUGUGCACUCAAUGCUUUUACACAGCCAUCCACAGUUUCAAAGUUGCCUUUUACUCAUAUGGAUAGCAUUAGCUUUUUGCAUCACAAAGUGAUACUGCAACAAAAGUUAGAGCAUAUGGUGUCAGAUACUGGGCAGCUGCAUUUGGGACUAGGAACUAAUGCUCUAUUAAAUUUUAUUUUAAUUGAAGUAGCUUCAGAAUUGGUUGAUGGCAAAGAGUAGCUUCCAUAAUGCAAUUAGAUCGAAGACAUGGUUAUAUCUUAAUUCUUGAACUAUCUUGAGAUACUCAAUUCCUUCCAGUGGCAUUCUGGAACAUAAAUGUGGAUUUUGGAUCUAUCGACUUUGACAACAAAUGUCACUGAGAAUUGGUCAUUCUCUGAAUAAGGAAAAAUAAUGGUAAUAACACAUGGUAUGAUCUGUAGGAUUUUUUUUUUUUUUCAGAUAUAGAGAUAUGUGAGCAAAGAACUAUAUCUCUGCUGUCUGUUGUCCAUUCUAUCUGAGUCCUGAAAGAAAGUUUGUCUUCUUUAGUAUAUAACAUUCAGAGGCUAACUACAGGCUCCCUUGGUCAUCUUGCUUUAAAUUGAGAAUAUUCCCUUGCAAAGUAAAUAAAAUAUGGUUUACUUCAUGUUGCAUAUAUCCUAAACUGUACUAUCAGUGUGAGGUCCACUUUUCCAAAAUAUAGCACUAGCUCAGAAAAGUACUCAGAAAUUCACCUGUUAACUACCGCCUUAUUGAUCUGUAUUCUUAGGACAGCACUGGCUUUGCUCUUUUUACUCUUAAUCAUUUAUUUUCUGGUUUCCAAGAAAAGACAGAGAAUGUACAUUCCAACAACAAAAAAAGAGCGUAAGAUUUAACUGAGCAGGUAGGUAAUACAAGCUUCCCUUCUGUGUUCCGUUCCUGUAGAGCAGCGUACUAAAUAAAGCAUUUCAUUUCAUUUCCGUGGAACAUAUUUUAAGUUCUUGAUGAAGCAAAAAGGUUAUGUAAAAGGCAGGCCAGUGUGAAAAGAGAAAUAUGUUCCCUUUCCCUGAGUUAUGCUUGUUUUUGCCUCUGCCAAAUGAGUUAAUAAUAGUAGAUAUAAAUAUAGCUUAAAGCAUGAAAGAAGUUCUUAUUUAGUGCUUGGAUUUAAAUGGGUGUCGCAACACAGGUAUAUUCCAUGGUACAGUUAUAAGCUAUUUCAUAAAUUCCAUUUGUAUGAGUUAUAAUCCAGGCAACAUUAUGAAAGUUUAGCUUGCAACCAAAAUAAAAGAACUGAUUAAUGAAUGUUUUUGUCAAUUUCAAUAAUGAAUGGAGAACGGGGUCUGAAUAUAUAAUAUCAUAUAAACAUAGAAUAAAAAUUGUUUUAAAAAUUCCUCAUAAACAUCAGUCUCUGUAAAAGUCAACUAUAUAAUCAUAUAAAAUUACUAUAGGCCAUGAUGUUUGUUGUCAUUCCUUAACUUUGUCUAAAAAGAACACUUUUGAGAAUUACUUGACACAACCAUGAUUAUUCUUCUUUUGAAUGAAACUUUGCUCCUGCUAAUUAAGAUUAUCUAGCACAGAACUACAUGCAAGAGAAAGUGAAAUGAUCCUGAAAUCAGGAAUGGUUCUCCAUUAAAAGUAUCUAAUAUGCAGUUUCAAAAAGGCCAUAAGUAGUCUCAGAACUCAGUAUUUGCUGAAAUCCAUUGUGGCAGACUAAUUUAUUUGUUUUAGAUAACAAAUACAUGUUUUUGUUUCUUAAGGUGGCUAGAGAAGUAGGGAAAACAUGACCCUAUGAGAAAAGAAAGAGUACUAAGCUGUGGCUGGUAUGGUACACAGAAUGAAAAAUUUGCAAGUUGCAUGAAAGGAACAAUUUGGGAGGAUAAAUGGAAUGUCUUUAUACUUUGCCUGUCAUCACCUGCUGGUUCUUUGUUUUGUUUUGUUUUGUUUUGAGAAAAAAAACUUUACAAGCUCUGAAUACUGGCAAAACUUCAAGGUAGAAGGUGUAACUAGUAAUCUUUCUUCUUUGGGCAACCCUCUUAAAUCUUCUUCUGAGAGCACACCUCUUUUUGUAUUGAUUAGUUCAUCAGUUUUCAUCAGCAAAUUUCAUUACAUUUUAUCACUUUGCAUGGAGUGAAUAGAAUUAAUUUUGACAAGGAUAAUGUUGAAGCUUUUUGUUCAGUACUGUUUAUCUUCACCAAAUUUCUUAUGCCCUUGAAGUAAUCUCUGAGCAAUCUCUUAUCCAGAUCAAUUUCUAGUAUACAAGAAUAAUUGAUCUCUUAGUACUGUGCGUGUAGCUACCGAGGAUUUGAAAAUUACAUUGAAAUCUUUUCCAUACUGUUCUGGCAGCAGAGAAGGGUGUCCAUUGUAGGCAUGGGGUAAAAUAAAAGUAAAUCUCCACAAACAAGAGUUUGCAGGGCCGUGGAAGGAUAAUACAGCCCCAGCCUGCACGAUGCCUUCAGCGACUCACAACCUUGCAGCUGCUCUCUUUAAACUCAGUUUCUUUGAGAUUUGUACUGCUACUAGAUUUUUUGAGUUCUCUUUGAAAGGAAAAAGGCCAAAUGAUUAAUUUUGCUUUUGAUAUCAAUGUGAAAAUGUGCUUGGCACCCUCCUGUGUUGAACAGCAGCAUAAGAACAAAAUGUGCCUGGUUUACAUCAAACCUCCUCUGGGUUUCUGUAAGGGAGGAACAUGUCAUGCUGCUUCCACUCCCACCACUCUUCUCAACUUCUCACAGGUCAAGCUAGCGAGUCAUUAACAUGAAAGUCAUUAAGCUUUUUAGCAUGUGAGUGUGCCAAGCUCCACAGAACAAGUUUAAAUGAAACAGUACAUCUUCUGGUUUCUGUACCUUCUUUCCUACAACUUUCUUCCACAGUUUCACGAACUUGGGGUUGUACUAAAAUCAGAAGAUUUUGUCUAUUGCAGGUUCAGCAGACUGAGAUAUCACUGACAUCUGUUUCCUUCUUAUCCACUCCUGCAAAGGCCAGCAUCAGGACUUGUAGUAGAAGACAGUCCUUGAAGUCCAGCUAAAAUCAUGUCUUUCUCAAAUUUGUCAUGAUUGCUGCCAAGAGCUGACAUUGAGAAGGUGGAAGCAGCAAUGCAACCAGAGUCCUGUUUCUUCAUUUUGAAGUAGAGAGGCAAUCUUGCAUCAUGGAUGAAUUUAUUCCUUUAUAGAUGGGUGGUAGUGGGUUUUCCACUCUGUGUACUACCAACUUUCUCCAAGAUUGAUGUCACCUGCACCUAAUGACAAUGAAAGUACAUCCAGCUACAAGCAGCUCUCUGUAUAACCUGCUGAUCAGUGUUUUUCCUGUGGUAUAACAGACUAAGCUCUCUUGUUGAUCUUACUGUGAUUAAACACUGGAUUCGUAAAACCAAUGCAUGACACUGUGAGUUUGUAGUACUUUGAAGUUGCCUACAAUUUCCAUUACCUGUUUAACACAGACUGUUUAAUGCAUGGGGAACACAACAGAACAGAGAAUGCCAUCCCUGUGUUUUGUAUGAAUAAGCUUGUGAGCUUUUAUGGAAUGUGUCAACAGAAUGCAGUUAAUUCAUAAUGGUGAUGAUAUUGAGGUUGUCAUAGUCCACUUUACCAGAUGCAUGUAUUUCUCUUGAAUUUAGAUCACAAGAUAACAUGACAAUUAGGCCUCUUACCACACCAGAAACAAAAUGCACAUGUUCUUCAGAUUCAAUCACAACCAAACCAAAAGUAACAUCUCUCUGGAAACUCUGGAGGCAGUUACAUUUGUCCUUCUUGAGUCCCGCCGACAUCCAGCCAGCGAGCCUCAAGGCUGGUGCUGAAAUUUCCAGAAACAUUUGGAAAGCAACCACAGAAAUAAAUUCAACAAACCAAACCCCUGAAGAGCAGUAACAGAAGCUACAGAAGCACACUGGAGCCAGCACCCACUCAUCAUCACGGCUUGUCUCCACUCCCACAGUUUCCACCACACGUGCCACCUCCAGCACACCUCCAAAAUUGCUGGGCUUUCUGCUCACACUUUGGAGUCCUGAGGCCUCCUGCAGCUCUGCAAGGUUAAGUUGCAAUGAACCUAAAGCAGUGAGUGUGUCACUGGGAUGAUUGAUCUUCUUGUAUUUGUCAUAACUAUCUUCCCUGAAGUGGUUUCAUUGCUUGAAUGAGUGACCUGAGCACUGUCACCCAUAACCUUAUGUAGAAAGUCUAUAGCCUUGUUCAGACAAGAUUUCAUCAGGCAUUUUCUAAAACUGGGGCUUCUGGGGUCUGAUUGGAUUAAUUUUGUUGUUUCUUUUCCUUUACCUUUUCUUGGAGGUGCUUUGUCAACUGGAUGCAUCUCCCCAGCGUCAUACUCACAACUCACUUCCACUUAGAGAUCUCUUUCCCAGUCUUUCUUGAAGAAAACUGGGGAGAAAUUUAAUAAUUUAAUAAGGCCUAGAUCCAUGGCUGCUUCAGAUAAAUUUGUAACAGAUAUUUCUAUAUUUUUUUGUUAAUGCUGGAAACUUUGAGCAAAGAAACUCUCAAAGUUAUUAUGCAUAAACUAUGUUAGUCAUCUGAUUGGGAUGAAAAUUCAGGCCACUUUAGUAGCAUCUUGGAACCAUUCAGAUUUAAUUAUGAACAUUAAGAUCAAUGAUUUUGUUUGUUUGUUUGUUUAUGUAUUUUGUGUGUGUGUGUGUGUGUGUGUGUGUGCUUAUCUGUUCCUCACUGUACCCUCAAAACACAACAUAAUAGUGUACAUAUGCAUGUGCACAGUCUGAUCUGUAGUUAUUGACAGCAUUUGAGAUAUCAGCUCCUGGAUCUUGUAUGUAGCAAAUGAGUGUAGGCAAUUUACAGUCCAGCGAGGUCUUGAAUAACUCACUCCAAGUGCUUGUGAGAAGAGAAGUCAGUCUAGAUAAAUGAUUUCUGUCUUCCUGCUACUAAAUACUUUUGAGGUUCAUCAGUGACCUUAUCAACAUGGCUGGUUAAAAAUAUUGACAGCCUAACACAUCAAAGCUUUAUCUCAACAGUGCUCACCAGGAGAUCCACUGAAAACAGGGAAAGAAAACCCCUUUUACCUUUAGUAGGUACUGGGAUAUGUCCUUAUUCAACUCAAAGGGAAUUGGUGAUUUGCCUGCAGAGAAAGGUAACUGAUAGCAAAACCAGUAAUAAACCAGCUGCUAAAUGACUGUUUUGAGAAGUGUCCCUUCCUCUUUUUCAAAAACACAUUGCAGUUGUGCAGUGAUGUUCCUAAGUAUUACAGCUUGUAAUAGCUUUACUGAAACAUUGAAACAGUCUGAACCCUUUCUAUAAAUCACUGGUGUUUUCGAGCUGGGUGUCAAGAUUUACCAUGGUACUGCUUCUGGCAGUGGUAUUUGCUGACUUUGUCACUGGAUCUGAAUUCCUGGUUUGGCACCCCACUGAUAAGGUCUCAGCCAUUAAGUGCAUUAUACAGCAACCUUCUGCAUUCCUGUCUCUGUUUUGCUCUUCUGUGUUUCACUAUUCCUUUCUGACUUCCAGUCCUUACUCAAUUGAGUAAUUCAACCACAGCCUGCAGCAUCUCCUUAUCCUUUUUUAUUUGCUAGCAGUUAAUAAAUAAACACGCAGCUCAAAAUUGAAGUGAAUUAAAGAGAAACAAACUUCUUCGUAAGUAUUAUUUUGUUAUUCUCAGUUAAAAAUGCCCUCAAAUGAAGAUAAAAAAACAAACCAUUCAAAGUUCUUAAAUGAAACUUGUAUCUCAUUAGAGGUUUUUUUUUCCUUUCCAAUGCAAACAAAUUUAAAAUUUCAUUUUUGCUAGGCCUGUAGUUUUGUUCUUGCCACCAAAAAAAUAUAUAUUUUUUUUGUCCUAGUUGUCCUGUGGUGCUUCUGGAGGUGGGAGGCAAAUGGCCUGCAGUGUCUCCUAGACUGUCAGGAGUAAUGCUUUUUUAGGCCAGAAAGAAGACUUGGUCCCCCGCAUAACAAGAGCAUGACAGAAUCACUGAGCUAUCAAAUCAGUUAUUCUGCCAACAUCUUUCUGCUUCACUGAAGAGUAAAUUAAUCCUACAUAGGAGCGCUGCAGCAGGAGAGUAAGAGAGAGCACACACAUUGCUGUAGUUGAGUAGGAAGGUGCUUGUCAAGAGUGUAAAUAAUGGAUAAAUAAUUAAUUUUCUUUGGGGAACCUUCAAGGAUUUACUUCACUGAGUGCUUAUGCACACAUGGUAGAACAAGUACAGCAAGGGAUUGAGCAAUAAAGCUUCCCCGUGGGAAGAAAACAUGCCGUAAGUCAGACCUCUCAGUGUCUCCAUCUUGGCUCUUUCCAACUUGGUGGAGACCUGGGGCGGCUGCAGCUGGCCCCAGUUUCUAGAGAUGGCAGCUGGGGGUCUUGACCAGAAGGUGCUUGAGAGGGAGCUGUUCCUGCAGAAGGCACAAAGACACAGAUUGGACGACAAUCAGUGCUUGGAGAUGAAAGCAUGUGGGCUACAUUGAGUGAUUCUGCCAUACUGACCAGGUGAUGCUACCAGAGUUACUACCCGCCAAAAUCUUUAUUUAGAAAAGCAACAGUUCCAACGAGGAAACAAAAGAAGUGCAAAAAAUGGCACAACAGAUAACUUAGUGCUGAUCUGACAUCUGUUGCCUCCAGCUCACUUUGGUCUGCUGGGUUGAGGCCGCUCACGGCAGGAAGAGCAGCUGAGUGUCCCUGAUGCUGCAUGCCUCCUGUUCCAAAUUAAUAUUUCUGCAGCAAUAUGUAAAAGCAUUGAGGUCUAUCAAUUACAAAACAAUUUCCUGUGCCAGCUCCUAUUAAAGAGCCAUUACAGAAAGCUUAGCCUUGACUUUGAGCUGAAGCCCCCAAGUGGAGUUUUUUGGGAAGAAACUGUUAUUUCUUCCCAUGGGGAACUUUCCCCUUCUGCCACCUCAGAGCGCAUCUUCCCAGCACUGUCUGCAGUUACUCAUGGAGAAAGCGUGGAUCAUUUCAUGUCCAAAGGUGAAAAAGCAGAAGUGCACCCCUUUCAGACUCAGCAGUCACAGUACUUUAACAGCCAGCUAAUGCAGUGCCAAACCAUUACAGUGAACUGCAAACCCAAAUAUCUUAUCUUGUGUGAUUUCUUACUGUUAAUCGUCUUGUCUGUUCUUAUACCUCUUUGUUCCUGUAUAUUUGUGUGAUAUUCUGAUUAACCUCUCUCCAUUUUUCCCACUGUCUUCAUAUAUUCAUAUUUCUAUCCACUUUCACAUUGAUCAUUUUUGUUCCUGACACCAAUAACUGUUUGACCUUCUUUCGAUUUCUCUUUACUUACUCCUUUUUCUUAAAAUAACAUUUUCUGUCUCUGUUCCCUGUCCUCUUCCUUUGUUCCGUUUGUGAUUCUCUAUUCCUAUUACAAAACUCAUUUACUGUCCUUUUUCUCAUUUCUCACUAUACAAGUAAUGUAACUCCAUCAGCUACAGCCCUGUUGCACUGAUUUCCCCUUUCUAUCUGCUAUCUAGCAUCUUUCCCUUCCUCUCUCCCACGCAGCACUUUUCCUUUCUGUUUUGUUUCUAGUUCAGAAUCUCUCCUCUGACUUUCCCACCGUACUUUUACCCAUUGCCCUCUCCCUGCUGAUCGUGUUAGCAGAAAUGUUGAAAUUUGUUGUCUUAUUGCACAGAUCUCAGCUUCCUUCAUUCCUUCCUUGUUUGUUAUGUCAAGCCCACCACCACUCUCUUGGUGCAACCAGAGCUGGGUGUCAGGUGUUGUCCAUGCAAGCCUCUCUAGAGCAGCACAAGGCAGAGGGACUUUUAUCAUGCUGCUAAGGAGACCAUUGCUCACCAGUGAGUUCUGCCAAUCUGGGUUCACAUUUUGUAUCAACAAGAUUUGUAUGCUUUAUUGAUCAAGUUACAGUUCAUUGGCUUUAUUGUCAUAUGCACCUGUAACCGCAUCAGUGUUCACUGUCACUCACUUUGGGGCAGUAAAGCUUUGCCACAGGAAUACUUGAGAGGGACCAUGGGCUGCCAUUCAAGACCAUCUGGUACUAAACAGUAUUUCUCUAAACCCAUGGUUACCUAGGUAUCAAUCAAGGCCGUUUUCUAUCUAGACCUCUGCUGUAAGUGGCCAUUCAAUUUGUCCAUAAGCUAAAUAUACAGUACUCCUAGCAGAGCUCAUAAUGAGUGCACAUGAAUGACCUUUCAAAAGCUCUCGAACUCCUUCAAAACACAAGCAGAGAGAAAGUCUGUAUUUGCGAGAUCAGAAAUAAAAUGAAAACCUCACUUUGGCGAAUAAAAAAGCCAUAUACAGGAAAGCCCUUGAUGAAUAGCAUACUUUUAACAAAAAUACCAUUUCCUUUGCCACAAUAAAUGUUGUUUCAGAUUCUGAAAUUAAGUGCUUGUUCCAUUGGGCUGUAACAUUUUGUUAAGCUGCAGAGACGUUAGAGGAACAGCUAUUCCAUUUCUUACAGACUUCAGCUAUUUUCAAUUCUCUUUUAAUAUUUCUUUUUCUCUGGAGGAGAGAAACAUGUCUUAGGAUUUUCUCUAAGCCUUUUUUGGUUCAUUAUGUAGAUCUGACUUUCUGCGUCCACUAAAGCAACCACAGAUGAACUACUUUUGCGGCCUUAGGGAAACCUGAACCUGGAGCCAGCUUUUAGAAUUCACUGACAGGCCCAGGUCCUUGGCUGCCGUGGCAGAGGCUCUGCUCCUCUCAGAAAGUUUGGUGAAUUUAUGGAGGACUUAAGUAGCAGCUACAAAUCAUCGUUCUGUUUCAGCUCAAGAGUGAACUGCAUUUAAGGGAGCAUUGUUGUAACAAGAAGAAAACUUUCCAGCUCAAGUGUUUGCAAGCUAUUAAUCAUUCCCAAGUAUCUGUCCCCCUGGAAAUUCUCCAAGUCCUUACGAUACUGCUCUUGUAAACAAUUAUUUUCUUUCCUGAACUCCUGUAAUAAAAUUCAUAGUGGAUAUUGCUCUUAGGACA